UACGGGGGGGCAAGCGUUGUUCGGAAUUACUGGGCGUAAAGGGCUCGUAGGCGGCCAACUAAGUCAGACGUGAAAUCCCUCGGCUUAACCGGGGAACUGCGUCUGAUACUGGAUGGCUUGAGUUUGGGAGAGGGAGUGCGGAAUUCCGAGGUGUAGCGGUGAAAUGCGUAGAUAUCUGGAGGAACACCGGUGGCGAAGGCGGCAUCCUGGACCAACACGUGACGCUGACGGAGCG
rnacentral:rRNA from 1 species